rnacentral:rRNA from 1 species
UGCCCUUGCUAUGACGUUAGCGGCGGACGGGUGAGUAACACGUGGGCAACCUGCCUGUAAGACUGGGAUAACUUCGGGAAACCGAAGCUAAUACCGGAUAGGAUCUUCUCCUUCAUGGGAGAUGAUUGAAAGAUGGUUUCGGCUAUCACUUACAGAUGGGCCCGCGGUGCAUUAGCUAGUUGGUGAGGUAACGGCUCACCAAGGCAACGAUGCAUAGCCGACCUGAGAGGGUGAUCGGCCACACUGGGACUGAGACACGGCCCAGACUCCUACGGGAGGCAGCAGUAGGGAAUCUUCCGCAAUGGACGAAAGUCUGACGGAGCAACGCCGCGUGAGUGAUGAAGGCUUUCGGGUCGUAAAACUCUGUUGUUAGGGAAGAACAAGUACAAGAGUAACUGCUUGUACCUUGACGGUACCUAACCAGAAAGCCACGGCUAACUACGUGCCAGCAGCCGCGGUAAUACGUAGGUGGCAAGCGUUAUCCGGAAUUAUUGGGCGUAAAGCGCGCGCAGGCGGUUUCUUAAGUCUGAUGUGAAAGCCCACGGCUCAACCGUGGAGGGUCAUUGGAAACUGGGGAACUUGAGUGCAGAAGAGAAAAGCGGAAUUCCACGUGUAGCGGUGAAAUGCGUAGAGAUGUGGAGGAACACCAGUGGCGAAGGCGGCUUUUUGGUCUGUAACUGACGCUGAGGCGCGA